rnacentral:rRNA from 1 species
AGAGCGAACGCUGGCGGCAGGCCUAACACAUGCAAGUCGAGCGCGUGUAGCAAUACACGAGCGGCAGACGGGAGAGUAACACGUGGGAACGCGCCCUUCGGUUCGGAAUAACUCAGGGAAACUUGAGCUAAUACCGGAUACGCCCUUACGGGGAAAGAUUUAUUGCCGAAGGAACGGCCCGCGUCCGAUUAGCUAGUUGGUGAGGUAACGGCUCACCAAGGCGACGAUCGGUAGCUGGUCUGAGAGGAUGACCAGCCUCACUGGGACUGAGACACGGCCCAGACUCCUACGGGAGGCAGCAGUGGGGAAUAUUGGACAAUGGGCGCAAGCCUGAUCCAGCCAUGCCGCGUGGAUGGAUGAAGGCCUUAGGGUUGUAAAGUCCUUUUAACGGGGAAGAUAAUGACGGUACCCGUAGAAUAAGCCCGGCUAACUUCGUGCCAGCAGCCGC